UACGAAGGGGGCUAGCAUUGCUCGGAAUCACUGGGCGUAAAGCGCACGUAGGCGGCUUUCUAAGUCAGGGGUGAAAUCCUGGAGCUCAACUCCAGAACUGCCUUUGAUACUGGAGAGCUUGAGUCCGGGAGAGGUGAGUGGAACUCCGAGUGUAGAGGUGAAAUUCGUAGAUAUUCGGAAGAACACCAGUGGCGAAGGCGGCUCACUGGCCCGGUACUGACGCUGAGGUGCGAAAGCGUGGGGAGCAAACAGG
rnacentral:rRNA from 1 species